UACGUAGGGUGCAAGCGUUAAUCGGAAUUACUGGGCGUAAAGCGUGCGUAGACGGUUGCAUAAGUCGGAUGUGAAAUCCCCGGGCUCAACCUGGGAAUUGCAUUCGAGACUGUGUAGCUGGGGUGCGGAAGAGGGAAGCGGAAUUUCCGGUGUAGCGGUGAAAUGCGUAGAUAUCGGAAGGAACAUCAGUGGCGAAAGCGGCUUCCUGGUCCAGCACCGACGUUCAGGCACGAAAGCGUGGGGAGCAAACAGG
rnacentral:rRNA from 1 species